rnacentral:misc_RNA from 1 species
GGAAGUAAAAGUCAUAACAAGGUUUCCGUAGGUGAACCUGCGGAAGGAUCAUUAACGAGUUAGGGUCUUCUAGGCCCGACCUCCCAACCCUAUGUUUAUUGAACCUCUGUUGCUUCGGCGGACCCGCCUCACGGCCGCCGGAGGACCGCUGCAAGGCGUCCUCUGGCCAGCGUCCGCCGAUGGCCAACCACUUAAACUCUGAAUGAAUCGUGUCAUAUGUCUAAGUCUAUGAUCAAAUUAAAGCAAAACUUUCAACAACGGAUCUCUUGGUUCUG